rnacentral:tRNA from 1 species
GCAGAUAUGGCCGAGUGGUUAAGGCGACUGACUCGAAAUCAGUUACCAUCUUGGAGCGUAGGUUCGAAUCCUACUAUCUGCG